GACGAACGCUGGCGGCGUGCCUAAUACAUGCAAGUCGAACGAAACUUUCUUACACCGAAUGCUUGCAUUCACCGUAAGAAGUUGAGUGGCGGACGGGUGAGUAACACGUGGGUAACCUGCCUAAAAGAAGGGUAUAACACUUGGAAACAGGUGCUAAUACCGUAUAUCUCUAAGGAUCGCAUGAUCCUUAGAUGAAAGAUGGUUCUGCUAUCGCUUUUAGAUGGACCCGCGGCGUAUUAACUAGUUGGUGGGGUAACGGCCUACCAAGGUGAUGAUACGUAGCCGAACUGAGAGGUUGAUCGGCCACAUUGGGACUGAGACACGGCCCAAACUCCUACGGGAGGCAGCAGUAGGGAAUCUUCCACAAUGGACGCAAGUCUGAUGGAGCAACGCCGCGUGAGUGAAGAAGGUCUUCGGAUCGUAAAACUCUGUUGUUAGAGAAGAACACGAGUGAGAGUAACUGUUCAUUCGAUGACGGUAUCUAACCAGCAAGUCACGGCUAACUACGUGCCAGCCGCCGCCGUAA
rnacentral:rRNA from 1 species